AUGGUUCAUGCACGCCCACAGCGAGCUUAAGUGUGAGCGACCACAGCUGGUAUUUUGGUCAUAUCUUAACACUGGACUGUAGGCCUAUAUAAAAGUGUUGUACCUUUACUGUCUUUGGGUUAAAAAAACUCCUUCAACUCAGUAUCCGUCUAGUCCAACCGAAAACUCUGUCAGCUGCUGCUGCUGCAGACGUUGUGCAGACUGGCUCGGAGUCGGCACCGCGUGCAUCGACAUUCAAAGCAGCGGUAGUAAUCCCACAACCGGACGGUAAAGUCCCGUCAGUUAAAAAUAAUAAUCCAGUUUUUAAAUCCAUGUUAAAAUCGGCAUGAUAUAGAGCUAGUUAGCUUAAAAAGUAACAAACAGGGUCAAAUGUUACUGAGCCGUCUUCAGGUCGGCUCAGUAAUAUGAUUGAUGUGUUCAAAUGAACCACAAAAUAAAUGAAAUUUGAGAUUUUGGCGAAACCUUGUUUUCCAAGCAAUAUAAAAUAGUGAAGAUGGAAUUAUGACCUUUUUAACAUCCUAUCUUGAGCUAUGAUCAUCUUAUCAGCAAUUGAAGCAAUAAUGCAAGUUCUAUUUCAACAAAAUAAUAGAAAAGUAUCAAUAGUGGUAUCAAUAAAGACUUGGAAUGUUAAAGGAAAACUUCACCCAUUUCCAUUAAGCUUUGUAUCGUUAGAAACCCACUCAGAUUUUUGAAUGAUCGUGCAUCAUUCCUUAUUUUCAACUGAGACCGGAGAGAUCCGUAUCGAUCUCUAACACUUCCCAUUUUAAAUGACGCGAUAUGACGAUUUUUGCGUCAUUUAAAGCAGGAAGUUCAAGAGGGGAGGAUUCUCGUAAGACAACAAGCAACACUGACGUUACAGACCUAUUAGAUCAGUGCCAGUGGGUGGGACUUCACCAGCAGAAACUGACAUCCACAGCGUCUGAAGCUAAGCCAACAGACGACGUGGAGAAAAAUGAAUUAACGACCAUGGCGGAAGGUACUGGAUCUGUUAUAGAAGAUGGGGAUUUCGAAGAUCUGAUGCUUGAAUCAGUUGUUCGUGGCUACCUUUACGAGCCGCAAUAUAGCGACGAGCAGCAGAAGCUGUUAGAGGAACAGGAGGCAGCUGCUACAGCCGAGGCAGAAGACCUGGCUGUCACGGACGAGGAGCCCGGAAUGGCUGGAGCUGGGGCGGAUUGGUGGUGCCUGUGCUCUCACUGUGCGCCUAUGGACACAGAGGUAGAGUCGGUCUGCUGCGAAGAAUUUCAAAGAUGUUGAUUUCUUCUGGACGAAAUCUCUGAAUCAGACGAGGACUCGGAUGUACAGUAUGUGCUGUGGAGCAUCCUAGUUUCGCACCGCAUAUGGACAGCGGCGUCCUGGAGGCCUAUUUCAGAAUCCCAAAGGUGAACUGGAAACGUCAGCCAAAGCCUGCGGGGACGAACGGACGUCCAACUGUAAAGCGAGAGAUCGGGCAGAGGCUGUCGUGUCGUUCUACCUACUUGCGUCGUGCAGACCAUCCGACUAAAAUAUCCAGCUCCAGACGGCCAGUACUGCGGGCACCAAGAAGCUGACGACGCUCAGGAGGAACUAUAAGUUUCAUUGUUUACAUUUAUAUUUUUGUUUAUAUUUCAUGAAAUAAAUGGUUCAAAUUCACGUUGUUGUAGUCCUUAGCAUUGCUCCAAGUGUAUUUUCGAGAGAAAUAAUAUUAGUGGACGACCAACAUUUCACAAGUGGAGCUACUAAGCUACUGUUGCCUUAGAUUAAAACAAUAGCAGAAUAACGGUCAUACACCAUUUUUAUAAAGUAUCAUAAAUCUAAAUUGCACUAGAAGUUAUUUGCAUAUCAGUUACCUCCUUCCAAGUUUAUAAUGUUGAACCUUGGUGUAGACAGACGAGCAGGGGUUACAUUAUAUUUUUUAUCCACAAAUGAAAGAAUAAACAGGGUAAAACUAGAUGAAAUAUAAUAUAUAUUUACAGUAUAGGGAGAAUCUAAAAAGGCACUGCUGGAGGUGUCCCAGAAGAGCGGAGUAGAGCGAGAUGUAGUUGGCUAUCGGAAAAGGUCUCAAAAGCGGCUUUGGAACAAAGUUGUGGCAGACUCCUUUGGUGGUUUAGGUACAGGGGGAAAUGUUGGGUGACAAAGCAGGUUGUGGCAGGGUGAGUGAGGAGGUUGGGACUUUGAACUUGAUGUUAUGUGAUGUUGUUGUUGCAUGUCUUCUGUCCAUGACCCUCUUGAUUAGAUGUCCGACUUCUUGCAGUACACCUGUUGAACCGUGGUUCUCCUGUAAAUGACAAGGAAUAUGAUUAGAAAGAAAAUCUGAAUGAAGAUUUGUCUAGUAGACUUCUCUCCCCAGGAAUAGAUUAAACCUUUCAGCGACGUAUGCCUAUUGAGUUAGCUGUGAACUUUCUAAUUUUGGUUAUUAUACUAUUCAAAGAGCACAUGGUAACACACUGUCACUGUGCUGUCUUGUUUCCUUUUCACAAUGUUUUCAUUGUGCUCUAGGAUAGCGAGGUAGCGCCUCUCCCUCAUUCCAUCAUAUGAGAAGGCCUGGCGUUUGGGGAGAUCAAUCAUAACUAAAAUAUACAAAUUAUAUUAACCUCGUUUAUAUAAUUACUAUUCACAUUAAAUGGAAUUAUAUACAUUCUCCCUACAUCUUAAAAUUCAUCGCUUCCUCUCUAACUGAGAGAGGUUAAGAUCACAUUUGCAUUCCCACUGGAGCCAUUAAGUCUGAUACUGAGGCCAGGCCAAUCGACUGACUUCUUUGUUGAGUAGAUUCAUCUUGCAGCCUUGCAGACAUGUCCACUUCCCCCAUAGUGUAUUGCAGUAUAAUGCGCGAGAAAAAGGGCAUCUAUUCUCACCAGUAUGUUUGAUUUUGAAUAGUGACAUGAGGCUGACAAUAAUCUUCUUUUCACGCCAGUCCUUUACACCUUUAAAAC